GAUGAAGAACGUAGCGAAAUGCGAUAAGUAAUGUGAAUUGCAGAAUUCAGUGAAUCAUCGAUUCUUUGAACGCACCUUGCACCCUUUGGCAUUCCGAAGGGUAUGCUCGUUUGAGUGUCAUUGUACUCUCACACUCUCCGAUCCUAUGGAUUCGGGGAGCGGUGGACUUGGGUGUUGCUGCCUUUCCUUGUGGCUCACCUCAAAUGUGUCAGUGCACCUCUUGGUUGGACAUAGUACGGCGUGAUAAGUGUCUUCGCCGGCACCUCGCAAGAGGGUGGCCGAUCGGGAGCUCUGUGCUUUCAAACCGUCUUCGGACAAUUUCUGACAACUUGACCUCAAAUCGAGUAGGACUACCCGCUGAACUUAAGCAUAUCAAUAAGCGGAGGA
rnacentral:misc_RNA from 1 species